UAAUACGUAGGUGGCAAGCGUUAUCCGGAAUUAUUGGGCGUAAAGCGCGCGUAGGCGGUUUUUUAAGUCUGAUGUGAAAGCCCACGGCUCAACCGUGGAGGGCCAUUGGAAACUGGAAAACUUGAGUGCAGAAGAGGAAAGUGGAAUUCCAUGUGUAGCGGUGAAAUGCGCAGAGAUAUGGAGGAACACCAGUGGCGAAGGCGACUUUCUGGUCUGUAACUGACGCUGAUGUGCGAAAGCGUGGGGAUCAAACAGGAUUAGAUACCCUGGUAGUCCACGCCGUAAACGAUGAGUGCUAAGUGUUAGGGGGUUUCCGCCCCUUAGUGCUGCAGCUAACGCAUUAAGCACUCCGCCUGGGGAGUACGACCGCAAGGUUG
rnacentral:rRNA from 1 species